rnacentral:rRNA from 1 species
UACGUAGGGGGCUAGCGUUGUCCGGAUUUAUUGGGCGUAAAGAGCGUGUAGGCGGCCAGGUAGGUCUGCUGUGAAAACUCGAGGCUCAACCUCGAGAUGUCGGCGGAAACCAUCUGGCUAGAGUCCGGAAGAGGAGAAUGGAAUUCCUGGUGUAGCGGUGAAAGUGCGCAGAUAUCAGGAAGAACACCCGUGGCGAAGGCGGUUCUCUGGGACGGUACUGACGCUGAGACGCGAAAGCGUGGGGAGCGAACAGG